AAGAGUUUGAUCCUGGCUCAGGAUGAACGCUAGCGGCAGGCUUAAUACAUGCAAGUCGAGGGGCAGCACGGGUAGCAAUACCUGGUGGCGACCGGCGCACGGGUGCGUAACGCGUAUGUAAUCUACCAUUAACCGGGGAAUAGCCCAGAGAAAUCUGGAUUAAUGCCCCAUAGUAUUAUCGAAAGGCAUCUUUUGAUAAUUAAAGCUCAGGCGGUUUUUGAUGAACAUGCGUGUCAUUAGUUUGUUGGUGAGGUAACGGCUCACCAAGGCUACGAUGUCUAGGGGUUCUGAGAGGAUGAUCCCCCACACUGGUACUGAGACACGGUCCAGACUCCUACGGGAGGCAGCAGUGGGGAAUCUUCCGCAAUGGGCGAAAGCCUGAACCAGCCAUGCCGCGUGCAGGAAGACUGCCCUAUGGGUUGUAAACUGCUUUUAUACAGGAAGAAACACUCGGACGUGUCCGAGCUUGACGGUACCGUAGGAAUAAGCAUCGGCUAACUCCGUGCCAGCAGCCGCGGUAAUACGGAGGAUGCAAGCGUUAUCCGGAUUCAUUGGGUUUAAAGGGUGCGUAGGCGGCUUUUUAAGUCAGUGGUGAAAUCCUGCCGCUUAACGGUAGAAUUGCCAUUGAUACUGAAAAGCUUGAGUACAUUUGAGGUAAGCGGAAUGUGUAGUGUAGCGGUGAAAUGCUUAGAUAUUACACAGAACACCAAUUGCGAAGGCAGCUUACUAAACUGAUACUGACGCUGAUGCACGAAAGCGUGGGGAGCGAACAGGAUUAGAUACCCUGGUAGUCCACGCCGUAAACGAUGCUCACUCGCUGUUUGCGAUACACAGCAAGCGGCCAAGCGAAAGCAUUAAGUAUCCCGCCUGGGGAGUACGGUCGCAAGGCUGAAACUCAAAGGAAUUGACGGGGGCCCGCACAAGCGGAGGAACAUGUGGUUUAAUUCGAUGAUACGCGAGGAACCUUACCUGGGCUUAAAUGUAGAGCGACAGAUUGUGAAAGCGAGGGGUCCCUUCGGACGAUCUACAAGGUGCUGCAUGGUUGUCGUCAGCUCGUGCCGUGAGGUGUCGGGUUAAGUCCCAUAACGAGCGCAACCCUUAUCGUUAGUUGCCAGCGGGUCAAGCCGGGGACUCUAGCGAGACUGCCACCGUAAGGUGUGAGGAAGGUGGGGAUGACGUCAAAUCAGCACGGCCCUUAUGUCCAGGGCUACACACGUGUUACAAUGGCCGAUACAAAGGGCAGCUACCAGGUGACUGGAUGCUAAUCUCCAAAGUCGGUCUCAGUUCGGAUCGAAGUCUGCAACCCGACUUCGUGAAGCUGGAUUCGCUAGUAAUCGCAUAUCAGCCAUGAUGCGGUGAAUACGUUCCCGGGCCUUGUACACACCGCCCGUCAAACAAUGGAAGCUGGGGGUACCUGAAGUCUGUAACCGCAAGGAGCGGCCUAGGGUAAAACUAGUAACUGGGGCUAAGUCGUAACAAGGUAACC
rnacentral:rRNA from 1 species